rnacentral:misc_RNA from 1 species
CCGCCGCCGCGCCGCCCGCCACCGACACCCUGGCGGCGCGGCGCGCCGUGGCGGCGUCCCCGGCGCCCAGCUCGUUGGACACGCGCACCGACGCGCUGACGGACAGCGACAGCAUGGCCGCGAACAGCAGGUAGUCGAAGUUGAGCGUGACGGCGACCACGCCCACCGUGCGGCGCGCGUCGGGGAGGCGCCCCGUGAGGAGCACCAGGAUCUCGUAGGACCACCACUCGAGGCAGGUGUUGAGGCAGCAGGGGACGGCCAGGCGGAGGAGCAGCAGCCAGCCGGCGGCCGCCGCCGCCGCUAUCGGCUUCGACGUUGUCCCCCGCUGGCGCCGGAGGUCGUGGGCGAGCGCGUAGGCGGCGAGCAUGAGCGCCAGCGCGAGGUCGCUGAGCCAGACGGCGGCGGCCACGCCCCGGACGCCCAUCCUGGCGGAGAGCGAGACGGUGAGCAGGAUGUGGAGCGCCAGCGCCAGGGCAGCGGCGAACAGAGUGGGCAGCGUGGCCUCCUGCGCGCUGAGGUACGCCUUGAGCGGGUUGAGCACGGAGGUGACGGCGAGGUCCGGGAGGAGGCAGAGCACGUAGGUCCUGGCCGUGGCCGCGAUGUCGGGCUGCUGGCCGAAGCGCAGCAGCACGGCGUCGACGCGCGUCCAGAGGAGCGCGAUGGGGACGGAGGCGGCCAGGAGCAUGAGGGUGGCCCUGAGCAGCGUCCCGCGCAGGAGGGCGACGUUUCCGGCGCCGUGCGCCUGGCCGCAGAUGGGCUCCAUGGCGCCGCAGAGGCCGCUGAGGACGGCGAAGCCGGUGACGUUGGCGAAGCUGUAGCCGAGCGUGCCGGCGGCCAGCUCCAGGUCGCCGAGGCGGCCGAGGAAGGCCGUGGUCACGGCCUGCUUGGCGAACCAGGUGAGGUUCAUGCCGAUGAGAGGGAGCGCGAUGCCGCGCUGCGCGCGCACCUCGGACGCAACAGCGGCCAGGCCAUGCUGCUGCCUUGGCGGUGGUGUCGUCAUGGUCAUGGCUGCUGCGUGAGCGAGCGAGCAGAUGGAGAUGGAGUUUGGUUUGCUUUGGUUUGUUGGGGUUACAGGCAGCACAUAUCCACAUACUAGUAUACAUACUUUACUUAGGCUGCCUGCUUUAUUUCUGCUUUCUUCCAUGAAUGGAUCGUAACGGUUCUGCACAUCUCCUCCUCUUUCUCUGCUUUCUAGUGCAUUAUUACAUGUAUCGUCCAUGACCCCCCUCCGCUAGCUUGUUGACACUGUCACGUACCUCGCAUGCGUGGUGUAGACAUGGCCGGCAUGCAUCUCUUGCUACUGCCCCCCUGCCAACCUCACCCGAC